GCACCACGGGCGCACCGCACAGCAGGGCAUGGAGGAGAGCGGCGAGUCCCAGCCGACCGCGGGCUGCAGCGAUGUGCGCCCGAGCGGCGAUCGCGGCGGCGGCGGCGCCCUCUCAUGGGCCCCCGAGGACGCCUGGAUGGGCACGCACCCUAAGUAUUUAGAAAUGAUGGAAUUAGAUAUAGGAGAUGCCACCCAAGUGUAUAUAGCAUUCUUGGUUUACCUGGACCUCAUGGAGAGUAAGAGUUGGCAUGAAGUAAACUGUGUGGGAUUACCAGAUCUCCAGCUCAUCUGCCUUCUUGGUACUGAGAUAGAAGGAGAAGGGUUACAGACUGUGGUACCUACACCCGUCAGUGCUUCCCUCAGCCAUAACAGGAUAAGGGAGAUCUUGAAGGCAUCUCGAAAAUUGCAAGGUGAUCCAGAUUUGCCGAUGUCUUUUACUUUGGCCAUAGUGGAGUCUGACUCCACAAUAGUCUAUUACAAACUUACUGAUGGAUUUAUGCUGCCAGAUCCUCAGAAUGUUCCCUGUGUACUUGACCGAAGUUGUUCUGUCCAAAGCCAGCCAGAUACCUGCUAGUGUGAGUAAUGGUCCAGGACAGUUUGGAAAUGGAGAUGACCCGCCUCUGUCAGUCUCAUUUUAGUGAAAAAUAGACCAGCGAUAUCUUGUGGAUUGACACCUGUGUACAGACCACACUUUGAGUAGCCUGUGUUAGAGCUCAGAUGAGAAGUGAUGAGAGCCUGAAACCCAACAGUAGCCCAGAAGGGAAAUCGAAGCCCAGAGAGGUAACUAGACUUGCCUGUGGCCACACAGCUAAUUAAUAACAUAGUUGGGAACAGACUUAAUCUCCUAACUUCCAACUUCGCACCCUACUGGCCCCCGGACACUUUUCAUUCAAACGUGUAAAUGCACAGAAGAGAGAAGUUAAUGAUCACGAACCUUUUACCAUCUUGGGAGGAGCGACUUCUGGUGCUAAGUAUCAGGAAACUUCUGAGGGAAUGAUUCCAGGUGCCCUUAGCUCAGAUUCUGAUUUUGGGGAAUACAAACUGAGAUAGAGGCAUAUUUUGCUACCUGAAAUGGCUUGGGCUGAAGCUUGCUCUUGAGGAGAAUAAGCACCUGGAGCUACAGUGUCUGAACUAGCAGCUGCUGCCGCCACCUAGACAUUUUCACUGAGCUGUGUGAAGCUAUAUGGCAAGGCUGAGUCUGACUCAAAGAUACCUGCAGGCAUUAAUCUUCACAGUUCUCAUGGUGGAAGACUACAAGGGCAAGCCAGACCUGAGCUGACCUGAAAAGAUUUUGAUAGGCGGAAAGAUGGGAGGACUUUCAUCCACUUCUCCACCACUGGAAUGCCCUCAGAACUUCUCUCUUUUGCUCUCCAAAUCCUAAGGAGGUGGCUGAAGUCCAGGGAGUGAAUGAAGGUCAGCGAGAGAGAAUAUACACACCACAAAGAGAAGAGGAGUAAUUCCAGAUUCUUAGAGAUCACCAACAUUUAACAGUCGAUCCCUUUCAUGUUUUUUCUCUUCUGUUUUCAAGCUGGUUUGCAUCAGAAUGGUAAUUCUCUCAUUUCAAGAUUUUAACGCCAACUGCAGAGAAUUCUGUGUUUCUGUUUAUAAUUGUUUAAAGUUCUGAUUUUGAGCACAGCAUCUUCAACAACUAUUUUCAACCACUUUGGAGAUCUGUUUGGAACAUAGUUUUUCUCUGUUAAACCUAUUGUGUGUGGAAUGUCACAGCCCCCUGAUAACUGGCACUUGGGAUCUCCUACACUGGUCUGCCCUGUAGUAGUGGAGGGGGCAGGAGGGUUUUCAUGGCUCCCAAACCUAAAGGUAAGAAAAAAGUCUAGAUUUUGUGCUGCUAAAAAGACCUCCAUCUUUUUUCAAAAGUCCUCAACUCUUAUACUUUCUGUGUUACAGGAUGAAGGGUUCCAGGUCUGUAACAGAACAUUUAUUAAAGUUUUGAUAUCACAAAACCCCACUGAUGAUAUUUUUAUGCAUAGGCAUAUAAGAUGUUUCUGUAAAAACUGUUUUCUUAGGACAACAACAAAAUCCCCAAAGUUAUAUAAGGUAAAAACAAAGUGAUUUGAUCUUGAAAGGUAAGGAAAUAAAAUUGCUUCGAUAAUUAUCACUAUCAUGAUAAAAUGGUUAUCAUAAGACUUGAAAGUAUUUUUCCAUUUAUCACAGCACAUCUACAAGUUAUUCACGGAACACCCGUGUUCCCUGGCACGCAGUAUGAGAAACACUAUCCUAGUGGUUUGAUUGUGAUGGUGCACAAUACUAUGCUCACCGAACGGGACCCCAUUAUCUUUACGUUUAAAAGGCAAUUUCAGAAAA